ACACAUAUGUAUCCAACACAUGUUACCAAUAGUAGCAAGUUUCAUCCGUACAUAUACAUAGUUUCAUCAAUAUUACACAGUUUCAUCCAUAGGUAGCAAGUUUCACAAGGUCAAAACAAAAACUAAAUACAAGCACUCCAUCAACCCAAGCUUCCGUGAUCUUAAGCAAAUCUGUAAAAUGGGAAAGAAGAAAGUUAGAAGAAGAAGAUUAUUGUGAUGCAACUAAAAUGUGAAGAUUAUUAUGAUGCAACUUAUAUCUGUAAAAUAGGUCAUUCUUGAACAUGUAAAGAUAAUUUCGAAAUGUAUGGAAGUUCAGUUGCAUGAGUCUGGUGACAACAUUCAAACAGAGAAUUAGAUAGUACUUACUCACUCCAGUUCACAAAAUUUUGUCAUUUUUCGCAUAAUUUUAACGAGUGUUUGGAAUAUAGGAAUAUACAAAUUCGGGGAUGCUACUACAAUGAUAGUAUUGUACAGCUGCCACUAGGUUAUUCCUUCAACAUUAAGGGCAUGAGCAAGCAUAUAAGGCCUAAGGUGAUACCUGAUGUUAUCUCAAUCUCAUCCAUGACAGCUGGAAAACCACGCUGAGUUUGGCCUGGCCAAAAAAGAUACAAAAUCAACACAUGAACUUAGAUUAACCGCAGUAGCUGAUAGUUCUUGGCUCAAAGAUCUGUUGCAACAACAACCCAGACCAUGCCCCCCGCGCCCUGUGAGGAAGAGAUGCAAUUAAUUGAAAGCAGAUUGAAAUGGAAAUAAAUAUAACGGAGUACAAGAGAGAAAUAACACAAUUGAAUUUACUUGUGACUAUAUGAGCAACUGAAAUGUAAAUAUAGGAUUAGUAGAAGCUAUAUCCAUAUGGUCAAAUGAAUGAAAGCAAGCACACAUUGCAUUGGAAUCGAAUCUGUCAUAGGUUGGCCCAAGUGUAUUAAAAGAGUCAGAGCAUAACAAUAGAACAUUAGUUAGUUGUUCAUUCAUGAUUAGAAAGUGGAAAGUGAGAGGCAUGAGCACCAUGGCUCACAAAACUACAAGGACAAUGGUGAUAGACUCGACGAAGUGAAGCAGGGAGGAGCCUAAGUGUGUGGUGAUUCAAAGCAGAUGCAAUGAAUUACAUAAUGUAAUGUUGUAGAGAAACGCGGUGAUAAUAAUAAUUUCCUGAAUAAAAAAGCAGAUAUACAAUGUGGGGAUUUCCCCCAGCCCUGACCUUGUCAAAAUAGAUUAAAAUGCAUGGGUGCUUAAAUUUUUUGGAAUGGAUGUAAGGAUAUGUGUACUAUAAAAAGUAGGGGGUAUUUUUCUUUUUCAUUUGAACAAACAGGCAAGGUGCACCUUUUGUAUCACAUAUAAUUGCAGCCGUCAUCACAAAAAGUUGUUCGAGUGGGGAUCGAAGAUCGAUGAAAAAAAUAGGUGCACACAUCCUAUCUGAUGCAUUAACACAAUCUUCGUUGUACACUUUUUUUCAAAAAAAGCUAAUUUUACAUUAGCUCCGUCUCGAUUCGGUGCUACUCUAGAAUCCAAAGAAAGUUAGAGAGGCAGAUUACAUUUUUUGUUUGUCUAAUGCCAAAUUUUAAUCAUGCAUCAUGAAGCUGCAAAACUGAGAGACGUCCAAUAGAUUUCUGAAUAUAAUUUGUGUGACUACUUGUUGGGAAGAGAUCAUCAUCAUAUGACAAAACAAAUACCCAAAAUAUGUUUCCACCACAUCACACAACCAAGAUGUGCAGUCAAGCAUGAGGUUGCAAUGCAAUGCAAGAACAAAGGAUUACAGUAGGUUGGGUGGGUUGUGGUCAGCUCUGAUGAGGACGGUGAGCCCGGCAGCUUCAACGCCACAAGUUACCUGCUCCGUCGUGGGCACUUACCCAAACAUUCUGGCACCUGACUUGCUGGAGAUAAGCGACAAGAUACGUAUCUGGUCCUGAAUUGACUCCCUAAAAAAGCGAGCCCAUAAAUAGGAGGUAGAAAAAGAAACAGAACAGAGUGCGAGUCCCCAAGAACCACAUAACGACCAUUUAAAAAAAGUGCCACGAAUCGAUUCUCGCCUGAUAGCUUGAUUGUUCACAAGGGCGAUAGCACAAAAUCAAAUCCAUGAGUGUGUAAAUCCAACAAUAAAUCAAUCCAAGUAAGUUUAGGGUGGUUGAGUUCAUCACCAAAAAGAGACAUAAAUCCCAAGUCCAGAUGGAUCUUCAUUCACAUCAACACAAUAGAGGAAUAGAAAAGAAAGAAGAACAUUGUAUAGUAGAUAAGGAAAUUUUGUGUAUUUGUAGCAUAGCAAAAGAGGGCUCAGUUUUGUCUUUGAUCUUCAAGCCCAACACUCACAUAUCUUGCUACAUAACAUACCCAUCGCAAUGUAAAUGAACUGCCCUGGUUAUCACUUGUCAGAAUGACCAUUCGAGGUGCAGAACGUCCAACAUCACCGAUGAAUUGAACAGGCUGCAAGAGAGGUAAGGGUGGGCUCUAAUUUAGUACCCACAAGCCACAACAGUCUUGAUUGCUCAAUACAUGCUUAUUUCAGCCAGAGUCAUCAUCAUGGCCCCUCAUUUUCUACCGGAAAGAAGGUUGUACCCCCGGCCUUUGCUCACCAAGCAACAUGACCCUGAUAUCCAUCCAAUACAUACAUACAUACACACAUCCAUCCAUCCGUUAGCCUCAGGAGCUACUCAUACCUGGCCUCGGCCGACCAAACCUCCUAGUACGCAUCAGAGAAUACCGUACAUUUUCCAGCCCACGCCACAACCGAAUCCAAGGCACUUUGUGGGGCUUGUCCAGCAUGACCAUGAGCUGGGCCGAAGGCGCAAUGCGACCUGGUACUCGUCACCGCGGGUGGGGGCAGGGAGCCGGGCGAGGUCACGCCCACCACGCGGUCCUAGAGACCUCGUCGGCGCACCCAACACCGCGGCGGCUGCCCGAGCCCGGGCCUCCAUGCCGGCGACGACGCGGCACGGACGGGAUCCCUGGCCCAGCAAGACGGAGGGAUCCAAGGGCUGAGCCUCCUCAUCGCCCAGUCACAAAUAUGUGAAAAAAUAUCCAAACCAUGCCAAUCGUGAGCUCGCAAGACAGCCAUGUUGCAGGGCAACAACCCCUUACCUAGUCCGGGCAGCGAUUGCAAGAACAUCAAGGUAAGAUUGGG
rnacentral:lncRNA from 1 species